UUAGAAUCAUGAUAUAACACACGUAGGAUCCACAAAGAUAAACAUCUAACAAAGCCAUUUAGAACCUCAGAGGUGAAACAAAUGCAGAAUCAAGAAACAAGGAUCAGCAAACCAUGUAAAAUUUCAUAAGUGAAACUACUGAAUAGUCAAAAGGCAAAGAUCAACAAGCCAUGUAAAAUUUUAGAGGUGAGACAACUCAGAAGAUGAAUGAAUU
rnacentral:lncRNA from 1 species